AACGGCAGCAGCGGAGGCGGCGGUGAUGGCCGAGUCCUAGGCGCCCGCCCACGGAUCAUAGCCCCAGGUAGAAGAGACCUUGCCCGGCUGCGGCUGGAGCUGUUUUGAGCCGCAGUUAAUUGAGCAGCUGUGGCGGGGCGGGGCAGGGCCCUCGUCACCCUGGGUGGGGCAGCCUGCGUGCAAGAGGGCGUUCCCUCAUUAAUGAGGGCGGGUGCCUGGCCUCUAGCUUCACCCAGGGGACCUAGUUGUCCGGCGGGAGUGGGGUCUGGGGUCUGGGGGAGUACCUUCUAAAGGAGGGCGCUUCACUCCCCCAGUACUCUGUGUCAGCACUCUGCUCCAGCAGAAAGCUACCCACACUCCCAACUCUGGUGUGCUGAGUGCUUGCAAAGGGAAGGGUAGGCGCGGUGGAAUUCCUGAGCCAGAGGGAGCUGAGAAAUAGGGAAACACCCAGGACCCCUGUGGCUUCAGCUGGAAGAUGUCAGAUGGGAGGGUGGGAGCUGCUGACCAAGAGUGUGUCUCCUAGGUCUCACCAUGGUGUCAAAACAGAAAAUAGGAUAGGAUCCAAGAAAACAGGGAGGGAUCAGCCUGCCAGAACCGGUCACAAACAAUAUGCAGAGAUCUAGGGAGCUUGGCUGAGGUUUUUCAGACCCUAUCUGGGUGAGGAGUCACCUUCUUAGCCCUGGUUAUAGAUAUGGACCAAGGAUACCACCUGAAUUCGACUUUGGGAUUAUUUCAGUCCUGCUAUGAAAUAGAAUUCAGGAAUAAAUAGUAGAGCUUAAGAAAAAGAUUUAUUUCGUGGUGUGAAGAACAGUGACAAACAAAGCGAUCCACACAUUGGAAUCACACCAGAGCAUUAAAUUAAUUAAUUGAAAAAGAAAAGGAAAGAAAAGAAUGCAGAAGGUGAAGCUGUGCAUGGAAUAAACUGAACCUCUCUUGAGGACAGCACUAGGAAUUAGGAUUAUUUGGUAUUGGCUGGUCACUGUGCAACCCGGUUUAUGAAGCCCCACAUGCGUGUGAUAUCCAGAGUAAAGAGCCAUGUACCACACCAUGUGUCUCCUGCAAAUCCCCACCGGGAGGGUCGAGGUGGGAGGAAGCAGAGGUAAGUUGCCACAGGCCCUCAUGUAAAAAGCCCCAAAGUGCUCCCCUUUGUGUGUCUGGGUCUGGUUAGCAGUGUCCCACUAUGAAUUCCCUUUUUAUAUAGGUGUUUUACCCAACUGGUGAAAUCCCUCACCAGAAACUCAGCCUUCAAUGGUAGACCAGUUGUGGGAGUGUUUGUCAUAUACUGAUAACCAUUCCUAAAGUUUUCUUGUGGUUCCUUAUUGGUUAGUGUGAGCUUUUGAAGAGCAAACUGGUUUUUAACAAGUGUUUUCUUCUGAUUCUUGCUUACUUAGUUACCCAAGCACCGUGUUUUCCUGUUGCCGAGAUUACAGGAAAGGGUUGCUUUAUAGGUGUUUGUUGAAAUCUAACAGUAUUUAAGGGUUCUGGAGUUGACAUCAUACCCUAGCGACUCAUGCCUGUAAACUUGGAAGGUAGAGCAAGAGGUUUUGGGUUAAAGGCUAGCCUGGGUUUUGAAGUUCCAAGUUAACUUGGCCUCAAUAGGGCCAUUUCUUAAAAACAUCCUGAAGUUUAAGUCUCACAAGGGUAGAGUGUUUCAUAACUAUCAAGUGUGUUUCUUCUCAUAGUUGUUAAAAACUUGACCCUUCCUUCCUUAUGUGCCACUUGCAUGUCAGGGCCCAGCAGUGACAGAAGUGGUGUCACAUGGACCUUCAUUUAUUCCCUGAGAGCUCUCUGUGACCUCAUUCACUACUUUUUUCUGCCCUGCUGUAGUUAGCUGAGUCAAAAUCAGAUAGGGAGCACUCAUAAACCCUUGAAAGAGUUCUCUACAUGUGUGUUAAAUAAAGAUCAUAGCUUUAUAGCUAGAUAGAACAGUGAGCCCAGCCAAGUGUCCAAAACUAUCUUAUUGUCCAGGCAGUGGUUGCACACGCCUUUAAUCCUACCCCUUGGGAGGCAGAGGCAGGCGGAUUUCUGAGUUCCAGGCCAGGCUGGUCUACAGAGUGAGUUCGAGGACAUCCAAGGCUACAUAGAGAAACCCUGUCUGUAAAAACAACAAACAAACAAAAAAACAAAACAAACAAACAAACAAAAACCUAUCUUAUCGCCCAAUUUUGGAACACCAAUUGGUCUAAGCUGUCACUUUCUAAAGUAUUUUAUUUUCAGUAAUAAGUUUUUUCCAAAGAAAUGAGUUUAAGAAUUAAUGGGUGGACACUUACGUAAUGCUUGCCACCACCCAAAUAUUUACAAUACCCAGGAGGGAAAGAUUUAACAACACCACAUGAUGCAUUUACUUAAUUUUUAAAAAGGUGUGGAUUAAAAUAUGAACAUUACUAAGAAAAAAAAAAACAAAACUUCAAGCUGAUAACUUAGGGUAUUUUAUUUUACGUGCUGGCUGUGCUGGCGAGUUUUGUGUCAACUUGACACACCUGGAGUUAUCACUGAGAAAGUAGUUUCAGUUGGGGAAAUGCAUCCACCUCCAAGAGAUCCAGCUGUAAGGCAUUUUCUCAAUUAGUGAUCAAGAGGGGAGGUCCUGCUUGAGUUCCAGUCCUGACUUCCUUGGUGAUGAACAGCAGUUUGGAAGUGUAAGCUGAAUAAACCCUUUCCUCCCCAA
rnacentral:lncRNA from 1 species